rnacentral:rRNA from 1 species
GGAGUUUGGGCCGUGUCUCAGUCCCAAUGUGGCCGGUCACCCUCUCAGGUCGGCUACUGAUCGUCGCCUUGGUGAGCCGUUACCUCACCAACCAGCUAAUCAGACGCGGGUCCAUCCUAUACCACCGGAGUUUUUCACACUGUAUCAUGCGAUACCGUGCGCUUAUGCGGUAUUAGCAGCCAUUUCUAACUGUUAUCCCCCUGUAUAGGGCAGGUUACCCACGCGUUACUCACCCGUCCGCCACUCAGUCAUCCAUCUGCUUCACCCGAAGGAUCAGCGUCAGGAGCUUCGUUCGACUUGCAUGUGUUAAGCACGCCGCCAGCGUUCAUC